UCCCUGGUGGCUCAGAGGUUAAAGCGUCUGCCUGAAAUGUGGGAGACCUGGGUUCGAUCCCUGGGUCGGGAA
rnacentral:tRNA from 1 species